UACAGAGGUCCCAAGCGUUGUUCGGAUUCACUGGGCGUAAAGGGUGCGUAGGUGGCCAGGAAAGUUCGAUGUGAAAGCCCCGGGCUCAACCCGGGAACGGCAUUGAAAACUAUCUGGCUUGAGGGUCGGAGGGGAGACUGGAAUUCUCGGUGUAGCAGUGAAAUGCGUAGAUAUCGAGAGGAACACCAGUGGCGAAGGCGAGUCUCUGGACGACACCUGACACUGAGGCACGAAAGCUAGGGGAGCAAACAGG
rnacentral:misc_RNA from 1 species